rnacentral:rRNA from 1 species
AGGACGAACGCUGGCGGCGUGCCUAACACAUGCAAGUCGAACGGGACCAGGGGCAACUCUGGUUCAGUGGCGGACGGGUGCGUAACACGUGAGGAACAUGACCUUCGGCGGGGGAUAGCCGGCCCAACGGCCGGGUAAUACCGCGUACGACCACUUUGAGACAUCCCUGGGUGGUGAAAGCAGCAAUGCGCCGAUGGAGUGCCUCGCGGCCUAUCAGCUAGUUGGUGAGGUAACGGCUCACCAAGGCGACGACGGGUA